rnacentral:lncRNA from 7 species
GAUAUAUGAUCUUUUUGAAUGAAAGUUUGCAAAUGAACUAACUGCUUUUAGUUUGGUGAACUAUGUUGUCCAUUAUUCUAAUAUGAAGCAAAAAGACCCUUUGUGCUAAUAUAAUGACUACUAAUGUAGAUGCGUAAGAAAAUAAAAAAUAUAGAUAAAAUGGUUACUUUAGGUAUUUUCUCUAUUGUCACAUCUCAAUAUGCAUUUCAUAACCAUCAUUUUUGGACCUCAACUAUAUACUAAUUCUUUAUAAAGAAGAAUAAGCAUGCCUGUUUAUAUGACAAAACAAUUUUUUAG